CAUCCUCUGCUGUGUGCGACAGCGUCAAAACAUUCGCCUUGUCCCUUAAUAACGACACCGGGGCAGCGACGGAAGCCGGGAGCGCAAGUCCGCCUUGUAGCGGGAAGCCCGAUGGCGCUAGAGCUGUCCCACUUGGACCUCGGGUUCAAGGUCGUUUCGAAGCAUCGCCAUUGGCGGAGGAUGU
rnacentral:other from 1 species